AAAGCAAAUCCAAGACGUUAACUACAGAAUUGCAGACAGUUUAAAUGCCCCCAGCUUGGCACCCCAAGAGGUGUAGCAUGUUAAAACGAGUAGAACCAACACUUCACUGCUACUGAUAACCUACUACCCACUGGACAUGUGAUCCUCUGUACAUUCCAAUCCUUUCUGCAUAAUGAAUAAUGACUGGUCAAGAUAAUAUCCUGCUUUUUUAUUUUGUGGAGAAAAAUUCAUAUGUAUUUAUAUUAAAUGCUAAUUUUUUUGAAAAUAUGUCAAGACUACUUACGUCAAAAGUGAUGCGAGUAUCCAUUUUAGUUUUCAAUGUGAUUUGCAUUUUGUUUUUCCACAAAUUUUGUAUGAUACUUGAUCGUAACGAUAUGAUACCUGAACUGUAAAGAAUUGCCUGUGAGUGUGAUAUGGAAUUUAAAUAUUGUAAAUAACUUUUUAUGAUCAACAUUCAACACUUGAUAAAUGCUCUAAAACAAACAA